rnacentral:rRNA from 1 species
UACGAAGGGUGCAAGCGUUACUCGGAAUUACUGGGCGUAAAGCGUGCGUAGGUGGUUUGUUAAGUCUGUUGUGAAAGCCCCGGGCUCAACCUGGGAAUGGCAAUGGAUACUGGCAGGCUAGAGUGCGGUAGAGGGUAGUGGAAUUCCCGGUGUAGCGGUGAAAUGCGUAGAGAUCGGGAGGAACACCGGUGGCGAAGGCGGCUACCUGGACCAGCACUGACACUGAGGCACGAAAGCGUGGGGAGCAAACAGG